UUAGUGGCGGACGGGUGAGUAACGCGUGGGUAACCUGCCUCAUACAGGGGGAUAACAGUUAGAAAUGACUGCUAAUACCGCAUAAGACCACAGCACCGCAUGGUGCGGGGGUAAAAACUCCGGUGGUAUGAGAUGGACCCGCGUCUGAUUAGCUAGUUGGUAAGGUAACGGCUUACCAAGGCGACGAUCAGUAGCCGACCUGAGAGGGUGACCGGCCACAUUGGGACUGAGACACGGCCCAA
rnacentral:rRNA from 1 species